rnacentral:rRNA from 1 species
CCCUUAGAUGUCCGGGGCUGCACGCGCGCCACACUGAGUGGAUCAGCGUGUGUCUACCCUUCGCCGAGAGGCGUGGGUAACCCGCUGAACCCCACUCGUGAUAGGGAUUGGGGAUUGCAAUUAUUUCCCAUGAACGAGGAAUUCCCAGUAAGCGCGGGUCAUAAGCUCGCGUUGAUUAAGUCCCUGCCCUUUGUACACACCGCCCGUCGCUACUACCGAUUGGGUGGUUUAGUGAGGUCCUCGGAUCGGCCCCGCCGGGGUCGGUCACGGCCCUGGCGGAGCGCCGAGAAGACGAUCAAACUUGACUAUCUAGAGGAAGUAAAAGUCGUAACA